rnacentral:rRNA from 1 species
AUUACGGGGUGCAGGCGCGAAAACUUUACAAUGCUGGCAACAGCGAUAAGGGAACCUCGAGUGCCAGGUUACAAAUCUGGCUGUCGAGAUGCCUAAAAAGCAUUUCAUAGCAAGGGCCGGGCAAGACCGGUGCCAGCCGCCGCGGUAACACCGGCGGCUCGAGUGGUAACCGUUAUUAUUGGGUCUAAAGGGUCUGUAGCCGGCCGGAUAAGUCUCUUGAGAAAUCUGGCAGCUUAACUGUCAGGCUUUCAGGAGAUACUGUCUGGCUCGAGGCCGGGAGAGGUGAGAGGUACUUCAGGGGUAGGGGUGAAAUCUUGUAAUCCUUGAAGGACCACCAGUGGCGAAGGCGUCUCACCAGAACGGACCUGACGGCAAGGGACGAAAGCUAGGGGCACGAACCGGAUUAGAUACCCGGGUAGUCCUAGCCGUAAACGAUACUCGCUAGGUGUCGGCCACGGUGCGACCGUUGUCGGUGCCGUAGGGAAGCCGUGAAGCGAGCCACCUGGGAAGUACGGCCGCAAGGCUGAAACUUAAAGGAAUUGGCGGGGGAGCACAAU